UCGGGUCCCGCGACAACCGAUCUUCGACCGAGCUUCUACAAUGGGACCGGACUCAUCGGUCAGGUCGCUACUCCGAGCUCCCAUGACAACUGACCUUCGACCGAGCUUCUAUAAUAAGCGGUCUCCAUUCAGCCUUCUACAGGAACCAGACUUCGACCAAACCUCCAUAGCGGUUGGAUAUUGGAUGAGCUUCUACGAUGAUCGAGCUCCAGCAGCUAGAUUCCUACAAU
rnacentral:lncRNA from 1 species